GCCGUUCCGUGCGGAGCUUUUUCCUGUCCGCAGCGGCCCGCAAGGUGGCGGCUUUCAAACUUUGCCGGCCGGGAAGGCGCUUGGGUCGGAGCACUCCAUCCGGGCCUCGGAGCCUGCUUUUUCUGAAACUGACCCAGAAUGCCCAGUGCUUCUGGCGCCGCCUCUCAGUUUAAAGUUCACCGCUUCUUUGGAGCUGUUUUCUGACCGCCGCUCAACAACUACCACCCAAACCAAACCAACAACAACAAAAAAAAUCCAGCUUUGGGCCCGUCCUUUGGAUUCUCUAGCACGGAACUCUCACCCCGCCACACAGGGUCCCGACUAGGUGACAACAAACAUAUGAGUGAAGGAAUCUUUACUUGGCGGUGGUGGUGCAGUGAGGGCAACAACGGUGGAGGAGUGACUGGUCCUCCCCCUACCUAAGCCAAUGGCCAGCACAAUAUACAGCCCACGAUACCACUUUAAACGCUCUUUAAUCCACUCCACCCCUUACCCCCAAUUGUUCUUCCUUGUUGGGAUCUACCACUUCAGUGGGGAACAUUCUACAUUACCCUUCUUUGACUCUUCACCUCAAGAAACAAGGGGAUCCACGCCCGGCUUCUGGUGAAGCUAUUUGCUCCUAAUGCUGAGCAGAUGUACAUUGUUAAUCACUUGAAAGAGAGCCCAGCAGAAGAGAAGAGAACUGUGCUGGAGGAAAGUGCCAGGAGAGCCCAUAGGGACACACAAGAUUUGGCAGACCUGAACUCCAGCAAGCUAGAAGCUGUCGUUAUACCGGUGAUUUUGGGGUGGCCCAGAACUGCCCCGUGAACAGUUCUGUAAAGGACUCUUUCAGUUGAAUUUCUGGCAGCAGACACGUUCCUGCUGUGAAGUCACAGUGGGUCAGGAUAAUCCUGUGGAUGGAGGGGGAGAAAAGGAUGAGAAGCUUACUGCCUGGUAUCCUCUCUUCUGAGAGGUUCGAUGAUGCUGCUGGUGCUGCUGCCGUAGAGAAGCCCGGCUGUGCGCGGCUGCCGGGAGGGGGUCCUGCCGGGAUGCUGCUAACAGAAUGGCCCAGAGGCGGCCCCUCCGCGAGAGCUGUGUGGAGGAAUAGGCCAGAGGGCAGGGGAGGCUUUUGAAGGGAUUUGAAAAGUGUUGCUUUAGUUAUAAUAUUUAGAAGAACUUGUUCAAGUAAAAACAGCUCCAACCAAAUGAGGUACACACUUUAUCACUCACGGAGAGGUGCUUUCAGUGUGAUCCUGACUCAAAGAUUAAAUAAGGGUCACUGAAUUAUUCAGAAAUACAUGGUUUCUAGACAAGCACAUUUUCACUUCUAUCUUUCAUUUUUUAAAGUCAGAAAUGACUCUCAUGCCAUAUUUCAAACAGAUGGGUGUUGGGCUGUUCCAAAGGCUUUUUCCUGAACCUCCAGGUUGGCUCCUAUAAGGACACCAACUGUAACUCAGGGGGUUGAAUUGUCUUUACCAAGAAUGACAACAGAAAGUAGGGAGAAUUUAAGUGAGAUGAUGACAUCUGGAUGUUGAUUUCUGCAUUUACAACUGAACUAGAUGACUAAACUAAUCUUUGUGAUUUCUGUGAAGGUUUUCUGUUCUUUAUGACUCAGAUAAAGCGUGACACUUUUAAAAGUUACUGUGUGUCAUACAUUCUUUUGGUGUCCUCUACAGCUGUCCGUGGCUGGGCACCCAGGGUUUAGCAGGAGCCAGAGAAGCCUGUGGAACGCUAAUCUAUUUUGGAGUGUUUCACUUGCUAUGAACUGUCCCUAUACUUUUUUUUUUUUUUUAAUACAGAGUAGGGGAAGAGAGGGAGAGUAAAACAAUCUCACGGAGUGAUAAAAACCUGCAACAUUGCAGGUAGAUUUCAUGGGGAUGGAAAGAGAUGACACACAUGCACAUGCGCACAGGUGUACCCCUCUGCUGAAGGAGAAGCCGCAGAUUUAAUGGUGACCUUGCCCCUCCCUUCAGUUCCCUGGAACUUUGCUUUGUGCUGCGUUUCUCCAGCGCCAAAAAAAGCUUCUGUUGUCACAGGUUCUGCUUAGGCCCAGGAAGAACCAGAAAGGAUGAGUUCCACCUUUGGAAGGUUCACAUUCUCACCGGGGGUGGGGGGAGGUGGGGGGGACGUGUGAGGACUCACAGCUGGCCCCGAGUCGGUACAGAACACUUUCCUUGUCUCUCGCUCACAGCUUAGGGAUUAUAAACUCAUGAUUGUAAGAGGUUUUUGUCUGUUUCAUUGACCGCUUGAUCACCUGCACCAGGAACACCCUCUGGCAUAUGAAGCCCUUGAUAGAAAUUUGUUGAAAAUAAAAGCCGACCAUUUACAGAGCGUCUCCAAAGAGAUUCCCUUACAUAAGCUCUUACAGACCUUAAGGUGGGGAUGUAGAGGGUUUAUCUGACUGUGAUAUCUUUUUUAGAUAAAGGCUUCUGAGCAAAGUUGUUAUAAAAUAUAAUAUAUGAAAAUACCCUUUAA